GCACCCACAACACUAGAAAUAACAAAAGCACCAACAACAAUAGUCCACCUAGCACAGAACCAACAAUUAUCCACACUUUAGACUUAUUCUUCUUUCCAUGUUCCCUUGAUGGUGGAGGAAAGGCAGUAGAAUUGACAACUAUCGCAAAAUGCCCCUGUUGAAUCGUUGAACAUUCAUUGCCAGAUGCCACAUUGCUAAAAUUUGGGUUACCUUGUAAAUCAAACGACACACACAUGGCAACAAACCCAUCUGGAACUGAUUUCACAUCUGAGAAUUUGAUGGUUAUGGGAUCGCCAGAUGCCCUGAUGUCCAAUACUGGUAAAUUCGUAGCAGAUAAGUUUGAGGCAUUAUAAGCAAGAAGACCCAGAACUGGAGCAAGGUGAGUGUAAC
rnacentral:misc_RNA from 1 species